GUCUACAGCCAUGCUACACUGAACGUGCCCGAUCUCAUCUGAUCUCGGAAGUGAAGCAGGGUCGGGCCUAGUUAGUACUUGGAUGGGAGACCACCUAGGAAUACCAGGUGCUGUAGGCG
rnacentral:rRNA from 1 species